AUAAUAAUUAGUCUUUUAAUUAAAGGCUUGAAUGAAUGAUUGGACGAGGUAAAUUCUGUUUCAUUGAAUUCAAAAUUUAAAUUCAAUUUUUUAGUUAAAAAGCUGAAAUAUAAUUAAAGGACGAGAAGACCCUAUAGAACUUUGUAAUAUAUAAUUAAUAGAUUUCAAUUUGAUUUUGUUAAUAAAUUAUCUUGUUGGGGCGACAAGAAAAUUUAUUGAACUUUUUUAAUCUUAUUACAUUAAUGUAUGAUUUUUUGAUCCUAAUUUUUAGAUUAUUAGAUUAAGUUACUUUAGGGAUAACAGCGUUAUUUUUUUCUAGAGUUCAUAUUAAUA
rnacentral:rRNA from 1 species